ensembl:lncRNA
GGAAAAUAUCUCACUCACAUCUCCUCCGCCAAGAAAGAUCUGAGUCUGUCAUUUCCAGCAGAGGUCUGCAAACUGACGUGAAGAAAAUCCAGUCAAGGCAAGUGAUUGAGUUUGGUGUCCUUUCUCUGACAGCAGACAGUGAGGUAUUUUCUCUCUACGUUUCUGGCAUGAUGUCAUUAGAAUUCCAUUCCAUUUUCUCAACUGCCACUAUUUGGCAUAAAAACGAUUCCGUUUGUCUUCAUUAUCUUCUUGCCACUACAUGUGCAUGACUGCAUGCAAAUUCAUGCUCAUUUGCAAGUAAAGUCUAGGCACAUGCAUGUGGAAUCUAUACAUGAUUCAAUUUAUCACGUUACUUGGAAAACAAAGAAAAAAAGCAAAGAAAGCUCACAGAAGUAUGCUCGGCCUUGUUGCAGUCUUCAGAACCAACCCCAAACAUCUCCAAAUAAAGCUUUCCAAUGAAAAAGACAUUAGGUGCAAUGAACAGAGCAACAAAUGCAACUGCACAGCACAUGGGGCAGUGACAUUGCUCUUGCACAGGGAGACACUGAUAUUUUGGCAUUUGUUUUCCUCUCAAACUGGAACAAAGUCAAAAUAUUUAAACGUUCCUGGAGGGAAACAUUUCAGUUUAGAAAAGUCUACAUUUCAUCUCAACACGCGGGAUUGACAUCAACAGGAGACUGAUGAAAUGCAUCCCUUUCAUUUAAUGCUACCCAUUGAAUCAAGCCACAUGGAAGAUGUUGCUUUGGGUCUCUCUUUCUGCCAUGAUCUCUGGGGACCCUGUGCUUUGGCAGUGCUCCUUCUCCAACGAUGUGCAGCGUUUUUUGUUUUUCUUUCUUUGUUGCCUCAAAUGGCCUGAGCUCAGACAAUAAGAGUGCGCUGCCAAUACAAUACAGUUCUUUUCUAUGACUUCAUGCUUAUAAUAAUGGGAUGCAGUACUGACUUCUUCCCUAGGUCUGACCAUCUAGACCUUUCUGCUACGAACACCUGCCGUCUCACUGCAGGACCAGAAGGAUUCAGUUGGAAUACAGAUCACUACCACUGCAAUGCCUCAAAGGGUCUUCCUGGGAUCCUCUCCAGACUGGCAGGAGUCCCCCCUAAACCCAGUUUCCAGUCUUCCAGCUCCACAUGGAUUUGCUGUGUGGCACAAAGUAUCUCACAAAUCAGGAAAUGCCUACCUUUUGGAUACUAAAUCCCACUCCUACUGUGCACGGUUAUCAUUUAGGAUAAGAAAACAAGGCCUGUUCUAGACAAGGAGAGACAAAAUUUGAUUUAGAGGUGACAGAAAGCAAUAUUUAACUGCAACUGCACAAAUCUGUUGUGGCCAGUUCCCAUAUUUACCAUGCUUCUACAAAACCAUUUGUCUCUCUAUAGACCCAGAUGGCCAGGGGUUCCGUUUGUCCCAAGGCUUCUGGCAGAGCAAGGCACACAGAUUGUUCUUUCCUUAGCUCCUCUGGAAUUAAUGAACAUUGAUUCAUUUCCAUUUAUUAGGAGAUAAGAUUUAACUUCUUGGCUCAGUAAGGCUUGUUUCCUGUGACACCUGCAGCUUGUUUCAGUUUCUACUUCAGCUCUUCCACCCAUUCUGAUAAACAAAUUAAUCACAUCCUGAAAAAGUGAAAGCAAGUGAUAUUUCACUGCUUAGAUCACUACAUCCAGAUCAGGCCCCAUCUGGGAUUCUGUGAUCUAUAUUUCUGGGACUGGGUCAGCCUGUGGCCAGAUCUGGGCAUCCAGGCUCUUCCAUAGAUCCUUAUAAACACAGCAGAAUGUCAUCUGCAGAACACCCUGACACAACAGAGGUGCUGAAGAAAACUAAGAACACUGAGUAGCUCUCACUUCAGUAAAGCAAAACUGGGAAACGUAACGACUUGCUCAAGUUCUUGGACAAGGAAAAAAAGAUCAUUUCCCCACUGCUGUAAAGAAACAAAACAAGAAAGAAGUCAAUGAAGUGAAAAAUCCUAUGGAGACAGGAUGAGACCGCUAUGGAAAUUUCUCCUGAUACUUCGGUUGAACUGAAUCCUUUUUAAUUAAAUUUCACUGUAAGAUCUAAUCUGGCACUCGAAGGAACAAGUCAGUUGGUACAAUUGGUCACAGAUAAGGUUCCCUGCCUGUGAUCCAGCAUCACUGAAGGAUCAUUGAAUUGUAGUAGAAGUAGAUACAAAAGGGACCUCGAGACGUCGUCUGAUCUCCCCCUGACUUAAAUUAAGAACGACACUACUUCAACUGUCCCUAACACAUUUAUUUAAGUACUUUUUAUUCCGAGCAUCCAAAAUAUUACUUUGCCCCUAGGCAGCAGAGGAUAAAGUUCCACCCACUGAGAAUCUCCCAGCCAGUAUCACACAGAGAAAAGUGGAGAUAAGGGUAAAGAAAGAAUACCCACUAGUCCCCAACGUGCUCAGUCCUAACAAUAAGAGUCUGAUCCCUCAAACACAAUAUAUGACUUUAUUCUUUUCACAGUCCUUCACACUGAGAAAUAGACCAGAAGAAGACAAUGCCAAAGACAUCUCUGUGAGAAAUGUUUCAGUUCAAAGAUCUCAUACUGAAAGAUAGAAAUUCAUUGUCUGUGACUACACCAAUACUGAAGAGCAAGGAUCCUUGAUUUGGAAAAUUUACUACGAAAAGAAAUUUGAUUCAACACUCGCUUCUGCUGAAAUAGCACUAAGAAAUGAGUUUUAAUAGAGAAGAUGGAAAAUGUUCCGAAACUGAAAAUGCCCAAAACCCUUUAAAAAACUAACAAACAAACAACAAAAAAUGUGUUCCAAAGAUUGAUGUAUUUCCUUCCUUCCUCCCUCCUUUCCCUUCUUCCUUCCUUCCCUUCUUCCUUCCCUCCUUCCUUCCUUCCUUCCCUCCUUCCUUCCUUCCUUCCCUGCUUCCUUCCUUCCUUCCUUCCUU